GAUGAACGCUGGCGGCGUGCUUAACACAUGCAAGUCGAACGAUGAAGCCCAGCUUGCUGGGUGGAUUAGUGGCGAACGGGUGAGUAACACGUGAGUAACCUGCCCUUGACUCUGGGAUAAGCCUGGGAAACUGGGUCUAAUACCGGAUAGGAACGUCCACCGCAUGGUGGGUGUUGGAAAGAUUUAUCGGUCAUGGAUGGACUCGCGGCCUAUCAGCUUGUUGGUGGGGUAAUGGCUCACCAAGGCGACGACGGGUAGCCGGCCUGAGAGGGUGACCGGCCACACUGGGACUGAGACACGGCCCAGACUCCUACGGGAGGCAGCAGUGGGGAAUAUUGCACAAUGGGCGAAAGCCUGAUGCAGCGACGCCGCGUGAGGGAUGACGGCCUUCGGGUUGUAAACCUCUUUCAGUAGGGAAGAAGCGAAAGUGACGGUACCUGCAGAAGAAGCACCGGCUAACUACGUGCCAGCCGCCGCCGUAA
rnacentral:rRNA from 1 species